GACGAACCGUGCGAACGUUGUUCGGAAUUACUGGGCGUAAAGCGUGCGCAGGCGGUUUUGUAAGCCAGAUGUGAAAGCCCCGGGCUUAACCUGGGAAUGGCAUUUGGGACUGCAAGGCUUGAGUGCGGCAGAGGAGACUGGAAUUCCGGGUGUAGCGGUGGAAUGCGUAGAGAUCCGGAAGAACACCGGUGGCGAAGGCGGUCUGCUGGGCAGUUGCUGACACUGGAGGCGCGACAGCGUGGGGAGCAAACAGGAUUGAGAUACCCGUGGUAAGU
rnacentral:rRNA from 1 species